GAUCAAUGAUGAAAAAUAGCCAAAUAUGAGCAUCAGGAGACCUUCUGGUCUUUGUGGUGCAUGAUUUGUAUGUGUUUCUGAGA
ensembl:snoRNA